rnacentral:lncRNA from 1 species
CAAAACGACGCCGUUUUGGUCUUUGAACCCUAGAUUCAAAAACGGCGCCGUUUUACAGGGUAUUUAAACCCAUUUUUGCUUCACAAAAACAUUUCAGACACCUCUCUUAAAAAAUAAAAUAAAAAAAACCCUUUUUUCCUCUCAAGAGGUCCUGCCCUUUGGGGUUCUAAGGCCCCUGUUACGCCGCCGCUCUGCUCGCCACACUGCCACCGCCUCCGACGGCCG